UGUUUCAUCACUGUUUUAAUUUGCUGUUUUAUGGUUGUUUGGAAUGAGACAGAAGAAAGAGACAUCAUUUUAAUAUCGUACCUUGAGAAAGUAUCAUGGAAGUCUUUUAAGAUCCCAAAUAAUAUGUUUUAAAACAAACAUUUCAUCUCCAAUUUUUGAUUUUUUAUUUUUAGUUUUGUUUAGUACUCUUAUUAAUAUUUCCCACAGUCUUUGUGUCAUCUUAUUAAUGUUCUAGAAGUAGCUUACCCCUUAACUACUUAAUGAAUUGUAUUAAUGUAUUUUAAAACAUUACCUGAUCUUGUUAAGAUCCUUAAGAAAUUCAUAAGACAAUUGGGCUUAUUGGAUUAAUGAGAUUAAUGAGUUUAGAAAUGACAGGUACAAAGUGAUAUUUAAGAAAAGUAGAACUUGAAGGUAUUUGGAAAUUUGUUGUCUUCCUAAUUGAUGACACUUUGCUAAGGUCAGCUUAUCUCUUUAGCAUAUCUUAGCUCAUUUUCUCAUUCUUUCUGUUUUAGUACACUAAUUUUUAAUGUGUAGAAUUAUAGCCAAGUUUUUGGAGAGUCUGAAAAGGUGCAAGUCAAAAUACAUUUGUUGCUCUCUCUGAAUUGUUGGUUAGAGUAUGUUAGGCUGAUUUUACAGAAAUUAUUACACUAUUUCUUCCUUCACUGGGUGAAUACGUUGUAAGAAAUAAAAACAUUGAUUUAGUAAUAAGAAGACCUGCUAUUGAAUAGGAAUCUGUUACUAAGCUGCGUAACUUUGACCUGUUUCCUUAGUUUGUCUAGAUUUUGAUCUUUGUAUUUGUAAAAUGAGAACUCUUAUACCUUCCCUCUCUAUCUUUCAGGGUGGUAUAAAACUCAAUUGUAAACUGUGAAGCACUAAACAAACGUGAAUGGGUUAGAUCUUCUCUAAAUUGACUUCUGAAUUAAUGGUUCCCACUCAGGUGGUCCAUAUAGCUCUAAAAGGCUAUCAAAUUAUUGGAAGGAGUCUUUAAAUGCGUGGGUAGAUCAGCUGCUGUUUCUAUACAUGUGUUCAAUUUAGAUGCUAAUCUUUUUGAGAUAUGUGUAUAUUUUUAAAGCAUUAUAAAAUUCAUAGUACUGUUGAAAGUAUGCAUUAUCUCACAUCGGGGAGUCUGAAAAGGUUGUUUAUAGUUACAAAGGUCUCAUUCUUUAAAAGACUGGAAACCAAUAAUAUAUUCCCUAGUAGAGCAUAUUUAUAUUUGAAUUGUUCAACAUCAAAUAAAACAAAAAUGAGUUUGAAACAUAAAAUAGUGAUUAAUUCUAGUUACGUCAGAUUUUCAAAAUAGGAAUUGAUUUCAAGUUUACAGUACAGGAAUGAAAGUUAAAAAUACCACUUUGCUUGAAUUUUGACAUAAUUUAAUACAUAUUCAUCUUUGUAAAUAAACUUUUCAUUUUUAAUUUAAAGUUUAUUAAGGACUUCAGAUUUAAAGAAAGGAGCAAAUUGAAGUGAGGAGAACAUUUUCUUAAAUGAUUUAAGCUAUCAGUGUGUUGGGUACUGAGUGAAAUUAACAAAAUAUUCCAUAUGUAGUAUUAGUAACUAUAGAUUUUAUUGUUUAGUUUUUCUCACCCCUUAAGCUUCAUUGAGCAGAUAGGAGUGUAAGAUUUCAAUGAUUAACCUUUUUAAAUAAAAGUCUAAAAAGCCAGAUUGGUAGUAUCUGCGAAAAAUGUUUAAUUUUGUCAGAGUAUCUUUCUUAUUUAUUGAUCACAUUUUGUUAUAGAUUUAUUUGUUUAGUUGUCUACAUGUUAUUCUUUUUACAUUUGUUAUUUUCUUCUUUUCAUUUCUGCUGCUAGUUCUUUUUAGGAGCUGAGGGAUAGUAUUUUCAUUUUGCAUGCCUUUACAUUUCUUCUGACUCAAUCUUUGACUGAAAGCUUCCUUUUUAAUGUAUACUGAAUGCAUUUAGAUUAUUUUUCAUUUAGUUUCACAAUAAAUAGUUUAUAAGGAAAAUGAUUUAUUUCUUUUUUGUGCAUAAACUAUGCUUUUUCAACCACUGCCUUCAUAAAUUACCCUGUACCAUAAUAUAUGUAUGAAAAGUAUAUUAAUUUUUUGUUUUAUAACUCUUUUUGGUCAUUGGUAUAAUAGGCUAACGUCUUCUCUCUGCACUUAGCCCUUUUUUUAAAUAGCAACCAAAAUAUAUUUUAAAUCAGCAAAAUAUAUUUUGCUUUAUAUUUUAAAAAAGGGCUAAGUGCCAAGAGAAAUUUCAAAAACAUAUUUAAGGUGUAUUCUGUAGCUAUUACAGUACGAUUGGAAAGGGAAAGAUUACUAAGUAGGUGUUAGUGAUGUGAAGUAUUUUUCUAGACAUUACUUUUUAAAAUUUUAUGAUUGCUUACACACAUAAAAAUAAAACAUUAUUUCCCUUACUUUUAGCAGAAUUAAACCUAUAGGUUAGACCAAUGACUGACCAGUCUCAGAAGCCAUCUCUUCACCUGGCAUUCAAGGCCCUUACCAUGAGCAAGCAGUCUGUUUUCCUUUUUUCCUAAACUUUGACCUCAGUUCGGAGAAUUCUGCCUGUGGUUUCAGAUGUCUCAAGCUUCUCAGGCUUCCACACAUUUACUUAUAAUGUUCUUUCUUGGCAAUGCUUUUAAUCCUCACUUUUAAUAGCCAUCUAGUUCCUUCAUGAUCCUGGAAACUGUAGUUUGUACUGACCCCUUCUUUCUAUGAAUUAAUUAUGCUUAUUUUACUUAACACAUUUCUUCACCCUUUUUCACAUAUUAUUUGUUAUAUCACAUUGUUAUUUUGAUUGAUAUUUAUAAUUUUUGAUCACUAUUAAAACAUUAACUGAUCAUUGAGCACCCAUUGGAUGCCAGGCAUUGAUAGGCCCAUUGGGUAAGUGGUUUUGUUGAAUUUUUACAAGCCUUCAAAAUAUUACCGUUUAUGUUUUAAAGAUGAGGAAAAUGAUCUUCAUAGAAUUUAAGUAACCUUACUGUUUAGCUAGUGAACAGUGGAGCUUAGAUUUGAAUCUGUUCUCUUCACAGUUUCUUUCUUGCUCCAGUGUGACAUAUUUCUGUUCUUCCUUGCCUCAGUUAUCAUAUGAUAUACUUCUCAAGAUAUGUUUCCUGAAUGUACUUUACUUCUAAAUGAAGAUACAUGAAAGGCAUUCAGUAUUCACUAAUGGAAAAAUAGAAAGUCUUCAGAAUUUUCUUAAUGGAAACAGGUGGUAUAGGCAUCUCAUAGUGGGUAUAUAAAUUGGGGAAAUGAUUUGAUCUUUAUUCUAUUUCCAUUUAUGGUUUUGUUUACCUGGAGUGACUUAUACUAUUUAAAGUGGCUUCAUCCUCUUCCCUCCAGUCUUCUAAUUCUUCUCUUCCCUUCUUUGUCUUAAUAUUCUACACAGCAGGACUGAAUAUAUUAUAUGGAAAGGGAGUUUUGAUUUGUCUGUUUUCUUACUCUGUAGAAAAUCAUCUAAAGUAAAGUCAGUGGCCAGAUAGGUCAUUUUAUAAGAAUAUACUUCUUAUUCUGUUGAUUUAGAUGCAUUAUAGAUAUAAUUUAUGUUUAUCAGAUAUAUAUUGAGUACAGCUGUAAUAGACCCUCUCUGAAGCUUCUGGACCAAAAAGUAAAUAAUAUUAAGCAUGUGUCCUCCCUCCCGCCAGGAGCUUAUAGUAAUAUAAGCUGAUAUAGUCAUUUCUUCGCUAGCAGUAGUAAACAAGAUAAAUUAGAAAAUAAUAAAAGAAAAUUAUGCUUCUAAAUCUAUGGGAAACAAGAAACCUGGGAGAUAACUAUUAAAUAUGUGCAUUUUUCUGGAGAGAGUAUUCAUAUCUUUCACCAUGUUCUCAAAAAUGAACAAAACCAAAAAGAGUUAGGAUUCACUCCAUAGAGUCAGCAGAACCAGUCAUAAAUGACCUUUCAAUCUGGAGAGUUUCUGCUUUAGCUUACAACUAAUGCACAGUUUUUAUAAUUAUUUAUCAUGGGAAUGCAGUGCUUAGCAUUGUGUAGUGGAAAGAUCACGUUUAUGAUGUUGUUCAUGUUCGACUGAAGUUGAGCAAGACCAGAGGCAGGGAGACAAGUGUGGCUAUCAUGGUCUUAUUGAAGAGAGAGCGAGAAAGGACCUUUGUGACUAUCCUAAAGGCUCAAAUCUCAACGGCCUUGGGAAGGAAGACAGGAACACUGGAUGACGAUUAGGAGAAAAAUACCCUCCAGGAUGAUUUGCAUAUUCCUCUACAGAUACUAAAUACAUAUGCUAAAUACUGCCAAAAAGUAACUUCUUUUAUAAAUUAAGUAGUUAGAAUGUCUGAGCUGGCAACCCUAAAUAUGUUGUUACUUACAGUGCCUAGUUGUUACUUACAGUGCCUAGUCCACAGUCUCUAAAUGUUACACUGGCAUGAUUGGCAAAUAAAUUGUACCUACUCUUAAGUACAGAGAAAAAUAUAAAACUCCUUAAAAUUUUUGGAAAUUUAAAUAAAGUAAUGAAUAUUUUACUCUUUUUUUAGAUUUUGGCCAACAGCAAGUUAGCUACUUUUUGAGAGUUGAAAAAUGUGAGCUAAAACUAAUGUACUAAAUGAACUACAGAAAAGUGAUAAGAGCACAAGACUCUGGAACCAUACUUCCUGCAUUCACCCUCAUUCCGUGACAAACUAGUUGUAUGACUUGGGGCAGAUUAAUCUAUUAGGGCUUUGGUGUUUGCAUUUGUUAAAAAGAAGUAAUGAUACUUCUUGGGUUGGCACGUAGUAAAUGCUGUUUAUGUUGCUGUUAUUAAAAAUAAAAUAUCAGAGUCAGUAAAUUUAGUAAGGAAAAUCCCUUUAACAUAACCACAAACAAUGCAUCUUUCCAGAAAGGAAAACAUUGCCUUAAACAUGACAAUACUUUUAAAUGAUCGCAUUAAAUAACUAAUAAAGGAUCUUCCUUGGAAAGGAUCUGGGUGUUAUCACUUGUGUUCCAGGCAAUUACAAAUAAGUCAAAUUUUUGAGUAACAUCUAAGGCUGAAGAAAUGUUUGAGUUAUUUCAUAUAUUCAGAGACACACUUGAUUAUCCUAUCUGAGAACCCAGAAGUAACACUCAAGUUUAUUCCCUUUAAUGCUUAACGUGCUGUCCUGUGUUUCUGUCACUCAGGCUUUCCUAGGCCGCCUUCAACCACCUUGCUAAUGGAUAAAAAAUUAUUUACUUUAAAAAUAAAGAUUGGUUAGUAAUCUGGGCCUCGGUUUGACAAGUUGGAGGAGUUAUCUUUUAACUAUUUUUGAUUAUUUUCUUUAAAACAUUAUCAGUAAGAAAUGUUAUAUUGAGUAAGCUUAAGCAAUUUAAACACAGGGUUGGCAUCCAUAAUUUAAAAGGCCAUUCACUAAAUCUUUGUCUUAACAUUUCCAUUUAAGAAAUUUGUAAUUGUCAACUUAUUAAAGAGUUUUAAAAAUCCAAGUUGAAAAGUACUAUAUACUCACUCCUCACAGUUUUAUGGUCACUAAAACAUUCUACGUAUCCUUUCACGUCAUUUCUCUUGCUUAAGCAUAGAUAGAUCUGUUUACUUGAGAGAUGGUUGCUACCAAAGACAUAGUUGGUGUGCAUCUGGCUUUCUAAUGGAUAAAAGUUGUUUUAUGGCACUUUCUUUCUGCUCAUUUCUACUGGGAAGAGAAUUUUGCUUAAUUGCUUUGGCAAUAACAUACGGUUUCUGCUCAAGUACUAUGGAACAGAUAGACUUGGGUAGUAAGUGUUCCAUUUUUGUAUCACUGAUAUGUUUUAGAGAAUGGAGAGUGUUUUUCUCAUUGCCUUAAGUUAUGGGAAAGAAAAAUGUAUUUUUUAGUAGUAUGUACAAAGUUAAUGCACAAUCUAUUAAUUUUUUCUAAGUGUUUAAAUUUACAAAAAAAGCUAGAAACAGCAAUAUUUAAUUUAGAAAAAUUUGUUCCUUUUUCUGUCUUAGGUUACCAAAUCAUAGGUCAAUAGAACAUUAGUAGAUAGCUGUAGUUUUUUUUUUUUUUCAAGACAGAUCCAGCAACAUGGGGAUAAUAUGUACAAAUAGAAUAUUUUAAUGCUGAUGAUUAAACUUUAUAGUUUGUCUAUGAGGUUCUUUUUCAUUGACUUCUAGCUAAAAUGUCAGCAAUGGAAGAAAAUUACUGUUUCCAUGGUUAGUAUGCUCUGAAGUAGACUUGCUGUACCUUACAUAAUAAUAGCAUUGGGACAUGUAGAAGAAAAUACUAUAUAACCUGAAAAUUAUUUAUUAUUAUUUCCUGUGAGAUUCUGUAAAUAUGUGAACAUUCCCAUGAGAUAUCUGACAGCUGUCUUUCGGGAUUUUAAAUUUUAAAUAGCCAUCGAUAUGCAGUCAUUUUUGCUUAGUUUGUUUAUACUUCUUAUGUAAUCGUGAUAUUACAUUUAGUCCAGGUGCAUUAAGGAACUGAGUAGGUAUAAUGUAGAUGUUUUGGAUUAUAUUUCACAUUUUUUACAUUCUCAUUCUUUCUGAUGCACUAAUUUUCUUUCAUAGUCAACUCUUGCUAAGUCAUACACAUCCUGAUAGUAUAAGAUCUAAUCUCUGUUUUAAGUAUUUUCUUGUUCUUACAAAGUUUUCUACUCCAGGGUAUAGUAUAGAACUUGAAAGACACUCAUUCUUAAAAAUAAACAAACAAACAAACAAAAACAUUACACAACUAGUGAUGUUGAACACUCUGAAGUUGAACAUAAUACUAAGGUAGAAAAACAGCUCUACUUCAUCCAUAUCUUACUUGAGGCUUAAUUAUUCUAUAUAAAUAAUUCAUAUAGUAACUAGCAGAUAUUUACUUAACACUGAAAAUGCAGGAUACUGGGUUGGGUGCUGCAGAGCAGGGGUCCUCAGUCCCCGUUAGGAACCAGGCCAAAUGGCAGGAGGUAAGCGGCAGGCGAGUGAAAGAAGCUUCAUCUGUAUUUGCAGCCACUCACCAUGGCUCACAUUACUACCUGAGCUCCACCUGCUGUCUCAUGGGAGCAAAAACCCUAUUGUGAACUAUGUAGGAGAGGGAUCUAGGUUGCAUGCUCCUUAUGAGAAUCUAAUGCCUGAUGAUCUGUCACUGUCUCCCAUUACCCCCAGAUAAGACCAUCUAGUUGUAGGAAAACAAGCUCAGGGUUCCCAUUGAUUGAUUCUAUAUUAUUGUAAGUUGUAUAAUUAUUUUAUUAUAUAUUACAAUAUAAUAAUAGAGUACACAGUAGAUGUAAUGUGCUUGAAUCAUCCCACAACCAUUCCCCACUCCCCCGGACUGUGGAAAAAUUGUCUUCCACAAAACCCGUCCCUGGUACCAAAAAGUUUGGGGAUGCUGCCAUAGAGAAUGCAAAGAUGAACAAGAAUUUAGUUCCAGACCUCCAGAGUUCACAGAUAAGAUAUAUAAAAAUAAUAUUGAAUGUAAGGCAGAAAAUUAGUUUCUAAGAAAAUUGAUUUCUCUUUUCUGUAAUAUGAACUUUAUGCUAAUUCUAGUUCAGAUUAUGUUUUCCUAAUUUCUGUUUAUGUUCCUUUGUUGGACUUUCCAUCAAAACGAUGGCUUUUGAUUCCUUUCUUUUGGCCCCAUCACUGUUUUAUGGAACAAAAUAUUCCAUUGUUUUUGUAUCUUAUCGGAAUUAUCUGAUAAAGAGAUUUUCUUUUGCAUUGUUUUAUGUUUAUACCUGAUUACUUUGUGUCUCUACAGAAUCAUAUGUUUGUUUACUUUUCUGUGAAUGAAUAUUACAACAGUUAAAAAAAUAAAUUACAGAUGGGUCUUUCUCAGUUGCCUAAGUCCUUUUCUAUAAGUAGAGUGAUCAGCUCAACUUUAAUACUCAAGUCUUUACAGAUAAUUCUUAAGUAUGUAUUAAAUAAUAAAUUUUCAUAACAUGAGUUUUUAUCUUUGUGCUACAUUAUCUUCAUGUGUUUCUCAAACAUCUGCAGUGGGUGUUGUUGGUGCCCUGCCAAGAUGCCCCAUACUUGUUGAUGCCCCUUUGUGAAAAAUUGCCCUUGGCUAAAUGGAGGUGCCUCACCAGGAAGACUGUGUUCAUCCUUUAUCUUUGUACCUCUCACCAUUGGAAAAGACCACUUCUUAUAAGGGAUAUAAGAAGCUGGACUCUCUGCCUCAAAGUGUGAUCAACUCUGUGGUACAGUUGGUGCUUUCCCAUGGGAUAUGGUGAAGCUGAUCUCCAGUGGAGACCAUAUUCCUGCUUGACUUUCUUCCUCUGCCCUAUGUUGUUUUUCUUAAUACCUUUUUCCUAAGAGUGAUCUGUGAAAAUCAAUUGAACAGGAACCCCUGUCUUGGGCUCCAGUAGGAACACUACUUAAAAACAUUUUAUAAAUAAUGAAAAUUGAUUUUAUUAACUUCUCCUUAAAUGUGGUUUUCUUUCUAUAUUUCCAGGAUCUAAUACGUAAUGUCAUUUUAUGACUCUUAAUCCAGAAAUCUGGAGUCACCUUUGACCUCUGCUUGUUGCUGUAUAUCAGUGGUUCUCAAACUUUUUGGUCUCUGGAUGUCUUUAUACUCUUAAAAAUUGUCAAAAAGCCUUCAUUUAUGUGGGGUAUAUGUCUAAAUAUUGACCUUACUGGAAAUUAAAACCGAAAAAAUAAGCAUUUCUUUUAAAGGCAAUAUAAACUAAUUAUAUAUGAAUAUAAAACAUUUUUAGGAAAAACCGCUAUAUUCCUAAAACAAAUUUAGUCUGAACAUUAUCAUUGUUUUACAUUUUUUUCAGAUCUCUUUGAUAUCUGGCUUAAUAGAAGUCAGCUGGAUUCUGAUAUUCAAAUCUAUGUUCAGUCUAUGGCAAUAUUGCCAACCAUGUAGCUUUUGGCAAACUGCUGGAUCUCAGGAGAAAAUGAGAGUAAAGAGUGGGAAUAAUUACUUACAUUAUUAUGAAAAUACUUUUAAUGUUGCAGGCUCUGUGAAAAAGUCUGUUCUUGGAUCACACUUUGAGAAACAUCACUGCAUAUCAGUUGACAAACUAGUCCUAUUGAUUUUGCCAUGAAAUGUUUAACAAUGUAGUUAAUGACAUGAACUUCAAAUAUUCAUAACCUUGGUUAAAAUCAUAGGCAGAAUUUUUCUCAUAUCAUUCAAUUCAACUUUGAUUUUAAAGAACUCAUACUAAGAAGUCAUUUAUUAACAUAAUCUGUUUCAUAGCAUAUGCUCUAAGUAUGACAAUAAUUCAGGCUUCCAACGAAGGCAGUAAUUGAGGUUCCUGGGUAUUAAUAUAUACAACUUUAGAGCAUUAUUAAUAAAGACUUAUUUUUUUCCUUGAAAGAAAAUUCUAAUGUGUCAGUGCUUUGUCUUUUGUUAUCAGAAAUUCUUAGUAAACAAAGCAUGUCAAUCAAAUUGAAGGUUUAUUUCAAAGUUUUUCCAUGAUUUGUGUCAUCACAAGUGGAUGGACAGCAAAUCUGAGCUGUUUCUUUACUUGUUCUAUGGAAAGACUGAAAGUAGUCGUCAGCAACAGAACAAGCCCUCAUGGAAAAGGACUGUGUUUCAUUAUCUGAAGUAGGCUUCAGAAGGUGGAUGAUAAGAAACUUCUGGGAAUUAAAAGAACUUGUUCUAACCCAAUGUAAAGAAACUAAGAACUUUGAAAAAAGGUUUGACGAAAUGCUGAAAAGAAUAGACAAUAUAGAGAGGAAUAUAAAUGAACUAACAGAGUUGAAAAAUACAACACGAGAACUUAGUGAAAUAUGCACAAGUUUAAAUAGCAAAAUGGAUCAAGCAGAAGAAAGGAUAUCAGAGGUCGAAGACCAACUUAAUGAAAUAAAACAACAGGACAAGAAUAGAGAAAAAAGGAUGAAAAGGAAUGAGCAAAGUCUCCAAGAAAUAUGGGACCAUGUGAAAAGACCCAAUCUACGUUUGAUUGGUGUACCUGAAUGUGAUAGAGAGAAUGAAUCCAAGCUGGAAAAUACUUUUCAGGAUAUUAUCCAGGAAAAUUUUCCCAAUCUAGCAAAGCAGGACACUAUUCAACCCCAGGUAAUACAGAGAACACCACAAAGAUAUUCCUCAAGAAGAGCAACCCCAAGGCACAUAAUUGUUAGAUUCACCAGGAUUGAAACGAAGGAGAAAAUACUAAGGGCAGUCAGAGAGAAAGGCCAGGUUACCCAUAAAGGGAAGCCUAUUAGACUUACAGCAGAUCUCUCAGUGGAAACCCUACAAGCCAGAAGAGAGUGGGGGCCAAUAUUCAACAUCCUCAAAGAACAGAACUUUCAGCCUAGAAUCUCAUAUCCUGCCAAACUAAGCUUCACAAUUGAAGGAAAAAUAAAUCUUUUAUGAACAAGCAAGUACUCAGAGAUUUUAUUACCACCAGGCCUGCUUUACAAGAACUUCUGAAAGAAGCAUUAUACAUAGAAAGGAACAACCAGUAUGAGCCUUUCUAAAAAUAUACCAAAAAGUAAAGAGCAUCAACAUAAAGAAGAAGUUACAUCAACCAAUGGAUAAAACAGUUAGUUAACAUCAAAUGGCAGUAAUUCUAAAUUUAAAUCGACUAAAUCCCCCAAUCAAAAGAUACAGCCAAAACCUAACAGUAUAUCCAAAGAUACACAAAGACUCAAAACAAAGGGUUGGAGAAAAAUUUACCAAUCAAAUGGAGAGCAAAAAUAAAUAAAUAAACAAAAAGCAGGAGUUGCAAUUCUCACAUUUGAUAAAAUAGAUUUCAAAGCAACAAAGAUACAGUGGUAAAAGGAUCAAUGCAACAAUAAGAGAUCUUAAUACCCAGAUACAUAAGAUCCAUAACGAGUUUUAGACUCAAUGAGACAGAAAAUUAAUAAGGAUAUCCAGGACUUCAACUCAGAUCCGGAACAAAUAAACUCAAUAAAUAUUUAUAGAGUUCUCCAUUUUAAAUACACAAAAUAUUGAUCGGCCAUUAUUAAUACCCAUUUUUAGAAUGAAGCAAUAUUCCUGCUCUCUCUCCCUCUUUUUCUUCCUCUUUCUUCCUCUCCUUCUCUCCUUUUUUUACUUUUCAACAUCCUAGUUCCUCACCUCUAUUCAAUACAUUCCUCUGAACACCUGAUUCCUUGUGAUUCUCCCAUCCCACUGAAACCUCCAAUCCAUUAAAAAAAAAAAAACCCAAAAACUAACAACUCCUACUUUUAUUCACAUAUAAUAGACUUCUUGUUCAUUGUCAGGCUUAGAAAAUUUUAGCUUUUCUUGGCUUGUGAAACUGAGCACUUGAAUUUGUGUUAUAGUAUUUGCAAUUCUUAACUCUAGAACAUGAUGAGCUACAUCAAUAGUCUUGUUCAUCCACUGAGCUACUUUGCCAGAUUGCUGAAAGCUUUUAGUUAUUAAAAAAAAAAAAAAAAAAAAAAAAGCUGUAAUAAGAAUCUAGACUCUCUGGCAAAAAGAAAAAAAAAAAGUACUCAAAGCUUAAUGAGGAUGUAAUUCUUCCAGCUUAAUUCACACAGGCUAAUAAUUAAAUUAUGCCCAACUCUGGAGAAAGCAUAGAUAGACUUUAGUCUCAUCCAUUUCUUCUUGCCUUGAAAUACAUCUUUACAUAUUUAAGGAAAAAAUCUAUCACAUUAAAACUAAAGUUACUAUUAGUCCUGAUUACUUUGUAAUAGCAGUGAUGCCAGAACUGCCAUUAGAAGCAAUUACUUUUAUUUAUUUUUAAAAUUGUCCUUAUUUUUGCAAGGAUGAUAUGUCAUAUGGAUUAAGGCUUAGCUCAUUUGCUAUUUUAUUUUUAGAAUUCAAUCAUAAAACAUUUAUUGGGCUCCCAGUGUAGCUAGGUAUGAUGAUCGUACUGCUAGAGAUAAGAAAACAAUAGAUCUUCAUCUUUAACAGUCUUGCCUGUUGUAGAUUUUCUUCCUCUGAUACAUUUGUGAUCAUACAAGAUAUAUUUAUGUAAAUUAGUCCAGUUUAAAAAGUACGUAUUUUAAAAAUCAUCUGUAGCUCUUUAUGAUCGGCAAUAAUAGCCUGGGUAUGGUGGCUUAUGCCUAUAAUCCCAGCAUUUUGAGUGGCUGUGGUGGGCAGAUCACUUGAACCCAGGAAUUUGAGACCAACCUGGGCAACAUAGUAAAACCCAGUCUCUACAAAAAGUACAAAAUAGUAGCCAGGCAUGGUGGCAUGUGCCUGUAAUCCCAGCUACUUGGGAGGCUGAGGUGGGAGGAUCACCUGAGCCCAGGAGGUCAAGGCUGUAGUGAGCUAUGAAUGAACCACUGUAAUCUAGCUUGGGUGGCAGAGUGACACCCUCUCUGACCCUGCCCCCCUGAAAAAAAUUGGCAAGCAUCUGUAUAAAAAUGUGUAAUGACAUUUUUAUUAUGGAUCAUUGGCUGGUGGUUGGUGGUGGGUGACACCACUUAACAGUUUAUCAAAUUGUCUUCUUUAAUAAUUUGUUUCAGUUUUCUUUUCUUUUUUCUAUAGCAGUGCUAUCCAAGAAAACUCUUUGUACUAUCAGAAAUGUUCUAUAUCUGUACUGUUCAAUGUAGUAGCCACUAACCACAUGUGACUAUUGAGUAAGACUGAGGAACUGAAGUUUUAAUUUAAUCUUAAUAAAUUUACAUUUACAUAGCCACAUGUGACUAGUGUCUACUGAAUGUGACAGUACAGUUCUGUAGUGUAUUAACUAUUAGAAAGUGGCAAUAGUUGAAUUACAUAGAUAGUUAUUCACAUUAUCUUAUUUAUACAGGAACCUAUUUUCAGAAUUUUACUUAUAGAUACCUGUAGUGAAGACAUUGAGUCUUCCUUAAGAUUAAAUUAGAAUUGUUAUUUUUUUCAAAGUUCUGUUAGAACUUUUUCCUAUGACAAAUAUAUUUUUUUCCUUAUUUGUAUGACAAAUAUUACUACAAGGUGCAUGGUAAUAAAUGAAUCAUUUUUAUUCAUCUCUGUUUUCAUUUUUAUCUUAAAGUUUAGUCAGUUAUCAUCGUAUGUGUUGAAUGGGCAAAGGAGCUGUUCAGGCUGAUGAGAGAAAUAGGAGGUGGUAGGGAUUAGCCACUGGGUGAUGAUUUUCUGCAUAUGUGCAAAGGAAUAAGUAGAAAAAAAAUGGAAUCAAUAGAAUCCAAGGUAGAAUCAAUAGAAUCUUAAAUCUCAAGAUUUAAGUCCUUGCUGAUUUGGAGGAGCAUUUGGUAGAGCUAUCACAAGACACUUGCAAAGAUAUGAUUACUUAGCGCAAAGGAUUAAUGAAAACAGGUGCCAAGUAGGACUUAUCCUAGAAAGUAUCCAGUGUGAAUUGUUUAGCAAUUAUGAAGGGAAGGUGAUUGUAAAAUUUUUUUUCAUGAAUUAAAAAGCAAGUUAAUGAGCACAACAACUGAGUGUGAAUGUGAAAAAUAAUGCAGCAGUUUUUAUGCUAACAAUAUUUCUAAUAAGGAUGAAAUGAAAUUAUUGGCUAUUUUCAGGUGUGUGUGAUAUGUUUAGUACUCAUAAUUCAAUCUGAUGACAUCAAAUCUUUAUUUUUAGGGGAUUUACUCUUACUUGAGGGAAUAAAAUUGACAAAUUUUAAGAGUCCAUGGGUUCCUGGAUUAGAAAGUUAUAUUACAGGCUGGACCAGCAGCUCGGGGCCAGGCUGACACCGCUGCUUCGCCUCACCCCCGCCCGCGACCAUGGCAUCCUCCAAGGUGGCGCAGCACUUGCUCUUUCAGUCUCACAUGGCAACGAAAACAACUUGUAUGUUUUCACAAGGAUCUGAUGAUGAACAGAGAAAAAAAGAAAACAUUCGUUCCUUGACUAUGUCUGGGCCCGUUGGUUUUGAGAGUUUGCUUGAUCAGCUGGUGAACAGAUCCAUUCAGCAAGGUUUCUGCUUUCAUAUUCUCUGCGUGGGGGAAACUGGAGUUGGAAAAUCAACACUGAUUGACACAUAGUUUAAUACUAAUUUUGAAGACCAUAAAUCCUCACAUUUUUGCCCAAAUGUUAAACUUAAAGCUCAGACAUAUGAACUCCAGGAAAGUAAUGGUCGAUUGAAAUUGACCAUUGUGAAUACAGUGGGAUUCAGUGACCAAAUAAAUAAAGAAGAGAGCUACCAACCAGUAGUUGACUACAUAGAUGCUCAGUUUGAGGCCUGUCUCCAAGAAGAACUGAAGAUUAAGUGUUCUCUCUUGACCUACCAUGAUUCUCGCCUCCAUGUCUGCCUCUACUUCAUUUCACCGACCGGCCUCUCUCUGAAGACACUUGAUCUCUUAACCAUGAAGAACCUUGACAGCGAGGUAAACAUUAUACCAGUGAUUGCCAAAUCAGAUACGGUUUCUAAAACUGAAUUACAGAAAUUUAAGAACAAGCUCAUGAGUGAGUUGGUCAGCAGUGGCAUCCAGAUAUACCAGUUCCCAACAGAUGAUGACACUGUUGCUAAGAUCAAUGCUGCGAUGAAUGGACAGUUGCCAUUUGCUGUUGUGGGAAGUAUGGAUGAGGUAAAAGUCAGAGACAAGAUGGUCAAAGCUCACCAGUACCCUUUGGGUGUUGUACAAGUGGAAAAUGAAAACCACCGUGACUUUGUAAAGCUGCAGGAAAUGCUCAUUUAUACAAACAUGGAGGACCUGCAAGAGCAAACCCAUACCAGGCACUAUGAGCUUUAUAGGCACUGCAAACUGGAGGAAAUGGGCUUUACAGAUGUGGGCCCAGAGAACAAGCCGGUCAGUCUUCAAGAGACCUACGAAGCCAAAAGACAUGAGUUUCAUGGUGAACAUCAGAGGAAGAAAGAAGAAAUGAAGCAGAUGUUUGUGCAGUGAGUAAAGGAGAAAGAAGCCAUAUUGAAAGAAGCUGAGAGAGAGCUACAGGCCAAAUUUGAGCACCUUAAGAGACUUCACCAAGAAGAGAGAAUGAAGCUUGAAGAAAAGAGAAGACUUUUGGAAGAAGAAAUAAUUGCUUUCUCUAAAAAGAAAGCUACCUCCCAAGAUAUUUCACAGCCAGUCCUUUUUGGCAACAGGCAGCAAUCUGAGGAAGGACAAGGACCGUAGCAGUAAGAGGGAACAAAGCUGUCAAUUCGAACUCCUGUGUAUUGAUGUCAGAGCUUGUGAAACCAAUGGUGGACGUAAAGAUGCAGAGAAAGCUCCAAUUUUUUGUAAAACAGAAGUUCCAGAGCACAGGUCAUCAUCACAAGCAAACUUUAUUAAAAAAAAAAAAACAACUAGAAGUGUGCUUUGAUUUUGUUGUUUUUAUUUGCUUUAUCACUUCGUCUAUAUUUGGCAGAUGGCCACAGUGACUGAUAUUUAUGGAAAAUUACCUUCAAGCACAAGGUCAAUAUGUAAGCCAGAGUGAAUGAUAUUACAAGUUGAGCAUCUCUAAUUCAAAAAUCUGAAAUCCAAAAGCUUUAAAAUCUAAAUCUUUUUGAGUACUGACUUGACCCCAUGAGUGGAAAAUUCCCCACCUGACACCUUUGCUUUCUGAUGGUUCAGUUUAAACAGAUUUUGUUUCUUGCACAACAUUACUAAAAAUGUUGUAUAAAUUACUUUCAGGCUAUAUGUACAAAUAAGGUGUAUGUGAAACAUAAAUGAAUUAUGUAAUUAGAGCUGGGUCCCAUUGUGUGUAUGUAGAUAUUCUCGAAUCUGAAAUCCGAAACAUUUCUGGUGGCUAGCAUUUUGAAUAAGGGAUACUUAGCUUGUACCUAUAUAUUCAUAUAUGUUUGCUGUUGUUAGAAAUUUUUAAGUUGCAGUUUUGUGAUGACUAAAUCUUUUCUCUUGCUACCAAGCUAUUGUCACUACAGUGCAUUAUACCAAAGAGCACAGUGUCAGUGCCAUUGAAAAUACAGAACCCAUUCAUAUCGGGGCUAUCUGAUUGCAUUUAUAGUCCAAGAUGAACAUUUUUUAUAUAUACUAAAAAUUGUGUGGAAUAUGUUUUGGGAUGUAUUAUAGAGCUAAAACUCUAACCUCUUAAUAGUUUUAUAGAACUAAAAUUUUUGAUAGUUACCCUGUUGGUGAUAUGAUCUUAAGCUUUUGUGUCAAAUUAUUUAACAUGAUGUCUUCAUGCUUCAGGAUGCCUUAUUGUGGCUCUUGUAUUACUAUGGUGAAACAAAAUAUCUUUAAAAGUCAAAACAUCCAGCUAUAUAAACUCUUUUUUUCCUAAUGAGAAAGUACCUUUGAACAUGGGUGUAUCACAGUUUUCAUUAGGAAAACAUUCCAUUACAUAACUUGUUUAAACUCUGCCUUCCAGGGAAAAAAUAAUAAGGUUGAAUCACUUUAUUAAAAAUAUUUUUUAAGAAAAUAUGAACAUCUGAAUAUUAAAGAUAUAAAAUGCAGAUAAUUCAUAUUUUAUGUGAUGUUUAUAUUCAGUGCCUUACUAUUCUCAACACUAAUGAUUUCUAACAUUUCUUAACUUUCAUAGAUAAAUUUUAAUUUUUUGUACUUGAAUAUUCUAAAUAAAACUGACAUUUACUCUUGACAAAUAAAACAUAU